GACGAACGCUGGCGGCGUGCUUAACACAUGCAAGUCGAACGAAGUGGCGAACGGGUGAGUAACGCGUAAUCAACCUGCCCUUCAGAGGGGGACAACAGUUGGAAACGACUGCUAAUACCGCUAACUGAAGUGGGGGAUUGCGUCGGAUUAGCUAGUUGGAGGGGUAACGGCCUACCAAGGCGAUGAUCAGGAGCCGGGCUUGGAGGAUGAACGGCCACAUGGGGACUGAGAAACGGCCCAGACUCCUACGGGAGGCAGCAGUGGGGAAGCUUCCGCAAUGGACGAAAGUCUGACGGAGCAACGCCGCGUGAGUGAUGACGGCCUUCGGGUUGUAAAGCUCUGUUAAUCGGGACGCGGUACCGGAAUAGAAAGCCACGGCUAACUACGUGCCAGCCGCCGCGGUAAUAC
rnacentral:rRNA from 1 species